rnacentral:rRNA from 1 species
GAUGAACGCUAGCGGCAGGCCUAACACCUGCAAGUCGAGGGGUAGAACACUUCGGUGUUUGAGACCGGCGCACGGGUGCGUAACGCGUAUGCAAUCUGCCUUGUACAGGGGAAUAGCCCAGAGAAAUUUGGAUUAAUGCCCCAUAGUAUAUAACCUUCGCAUGUUGGUUAUAUUAAAGUUCCAACGGUACAAGAUGAGCAUGCGUCCCAUUAGUUAGUUGGUAAGGUAACGGCUUACCAAGACGAUGAUGGGUAGGGGUCCUGAGAGGGAGAUCCCCCACACUGGUACUGAGACACGGACCAGACUCCUACGGGAGGCAGCAGUGAGGAAUAUUGGUCAAUGGUCGCAAGACUGAACCAGCCAUGCCGCGUGCAGGAAGACGGUCCUAUGGAUUGUAAACUGCUUUUAUACAGGAAGAAACCCUCCCACGUGUGGGAGCUUGACGGUACUGUAGGAAUAAGGAUCGGCUAACUCCGUGCCAGCAGCCGCCGCGGUAA